UCCUCAUCACCUGCUGCAGAGGCAGCAUCUACGCAGGGUGGCCUCUGUCCUCUCCUUGGCUGUUGGCUUUCUACACAUCAGUGUCCUCAUUUCCCCCACAAGCCCAAGGGCGCCUGACACCCAUGUCACUCAGUGACUUCUGCUGUGAAGAGAAAGGGGAGCAGGGCCAGGCGCUGUGUGUUCUCUAACAUUGAGGUCGAGUUUUCAACACCAGAAUACAUGGUGGAAGGAAGCAGUUUUUCCCAUCCUCGCAGCUCUGGAAAAGAGGAAGAAAACACUACCGGUUAAAUAAAAAGCUUCAAAAGGCAUCAUAAAUUCCCAUAGCAGGAUAUUUAAAGAAUGGUUUUCACGAUCAGACUAAAUAAGGCGACCUGACUCCAUGCCUGGAAAACUCAGGAGAGCCUUGUCAUUAUUACCUCAUCUGAGAGCCACUUAACCCAGGCAGGCCCUGGACGUGCCUUGCUGGCUGAUCGCGCGCAGGAGAGAUCGGUGCAGUGUGGCAGGUGGCAGACUGGCUGUGCCUCCUCGCAGGCCCUCCCUGGCCACCCCUGUCCAGGAUUCAUUUCUUGUUUCUGUUGUUACUCAGAGGGCGUCGAGGAGACCCGUAUAUCCAGCGGCCAAGGCAGCGCCAAGGCAGUGGGCGAGUGCAGGGCUGAUGGAAGACUGGCUCGUGAGCUGCAUCCUUGGUGGCUUUUCCUUCUUCAUCUCAUUGCCAGUGAGGACACUGAGGAGGAGAAGGAGGUGAGGAGGAGGAAGAAGAGGAAAAGGAGAAAACCAACCGUGAUCCACUGUCACCAAAUGAGCAUGCCAGAUUGCCAUGCUGCAUAGCUCCAGGAAGCACCACGGUUCACGUGGUCAACAUGGAUGGAUCCCUGAGGCAGUGUCCAGUGACAGCCUGCAUGCCACGGGCAGCUCUGAAGUCAAUAAUCCUGCAAAAAGGGUCAUUCCUUCCCAAUAAAAGACAGUGGGCUAUCUUCCACAGAUGCCCACAAAAUUUCCCUCCUUUUCCUUCCGUGGAGGACUGGUGAAAACACCAUCGUGGACCUGACCUGCAUCUGGAGACAAUCCCUCAGAGGCACUGCAGAGCUCCUUUCUGCCCAGGCACUUACGGUGCUUGAGAACUUGGAGAGGCCAGCUCACAGAGGAGCUGGGGUUUUGACUUGACCAUGAUUACUCAGGCUAGGAUGAAAGCUGAUACUUACUGCCUGCAUUCUUUGAUUAAUCCUUCAAUCCUCACAAUCACCCCAUGUCACCAGUAGGAAACUGAGGCAAAGUCCACACAACUGGCGAGUCUGGUAUAACUGUCUUUCUAUCACAGCAGUUUGCUGGGCACAGACCUGGAGCCAGAUGUUCAGGUAAGUUAGUUCCAGUGGCUGCUUUCUUGUGGCACCUAGACCUCCAUUCUCUCCCUUCGCCACUGACCUGUCACUGGUGCCUUCUCGGGACCCUCCCAAGGCCUUGCUGCUUUUCUCUCCUCCUGGGCUUUGACCAGGGUUUACCCACAUGGCCACACAGUUUCAGAAACUUGGGGGAAAAUGAUAGGAGGUUGAAUCCAUUUCUCUUAGGAAGGGACUGAGGCUGCUUAUGAUCCAUCUAGCAAUCGCAUCUUUCUCAGAAUAUACAACGUUAUGUUCCAUGAGAGACUCAACACACAGGUGCACGGGUGACACACAGGUGCCUUUUUGCCUAUGGAGAAAGCGGAAGCAUCAGAGGAACCACAGAGAGGGAAGUGAGGGGUGGGCGGUGAGGGCCAUGUGAUGUUUCUUCCCCUCUUAGCCAAGCUCUGUCGCUCCUUCCUCCAAGGGACGGGCUGUGCUCCUGUGGGAAGCCUCUGACCUCACUCCAGUGAGAACAGCGAAGAGAGUGAAGGCGACCUAGCCGGCCUUCUGCCCACCACAGCUUCUUAGCUGGAGGAUGAAAUACACUUAUUAGUCGAACCCGAUGAUGGGCCUUCGUUUCUGCUUUUUAAUCCCUCGGUAGUUUAUCAAUGUUCCUUUCUCUUUUGCAGCUUUGAACUACACACUGUUCUUUAAGGAAUGUCAAAUUACACUUGUAUACAAAAGAAUAUUUCUCACCAUCAUACCAUAUAAGUUUUUAUGUGUAAUUUUAUGCCUAUGCUUUCCGACUAGAUAUUGGUAUUAUAAUAUUCCAAAGUGAAAAGCAUAAAAGAGUUAUUACCAUUGAGAUGUAAAUAUGUAUAAACACCCCUUUUAGAAUCCAGUGAUGUUUGUCAGGCUUUUGGGAGUGCUUGCUUGUCGUUUUAUAAUUGCAAUGAAACUGAAAAAUAGACCUGAAAUUAUACAAAAAACGCAUCAAGGAGUGCCUGCAUCUAUGUUCUCCUAGUUUUUGAAGGCAAAUUCUCUAUGAGUAGGACUUAUAGAGAUUCUAAUUGAUCUUACAAUUGAGUUUCUGGUAAUUGAACAUACCUUUCAGUCUUCUUUAGUUCAAAUCAUCAUUUCACAUCUUCUUCAUUACGAUUACUGGUGCUAGAAAAUAAAAUGCAAUACACUAUGAUUCGUGUGUAGAAUGCUGGUUAGUUCAGCUCCAAAGAGCAAGGAAGAUGUUCUAUGCACAGCUCUCUCCUGGAUCUGCUCAUAAUAGAUAUUCAGUAAAUAUUUGUUGAAUGAUUAAAUAAAUGAAUGAGCAAAUGGAUACAA